CAGCCGCCGCGGUAAUACGAAGGGGGCUAGCGUUGCUCGGAAUUACUGGGCGUAAAGGGCGCGUAGGCGGACAUUUAAGUCAGGGGUGAAAUCCCAGAGCUCAACUCUGGAACUGCCUUUGAUACUGGGUGUCUUGAGUGUGAGAGAGGUAUGUGGAACUCCGAGUGUAGAGGUGAAAUUCGUAGAUAUUCGGAAGAACACCAGUGGCGAAGGCGACAUACUGGCUCAUUACUGACGCUGAGGCGCGAAAGCGUGGGGAGCAAACAGGAUUAGAGACCCCCGUAGUCCCUGUCUCUUAUAA
rnacentral:rRNA from 1 species